AGUCUCGAAGUGUUCCACAUCAAAAUGCAAAUUUGAAAAAGAGCCCAAAAGGGCU
rnacentral:tRNA from 1 species